CAGUCGCCGCGGGAAUACGGAGGGUGCAAGCGUUAAUCGGAAUUACUGGGCGUAAAGCGCACGCAGGCGGUCUGACAAGUCAGAUGUGAAAUCCCCGGGCUUAACCUGGGAACUGCAUUUGAAACUGUCAGGCUGGAGUCUUGUAGAGGGGGGUGGAAUUCCAGGUGUAGCGGUGAAAUGCGUAGAGAUCUGGAGGAAUACCGGUGGCGAAGGCGGCCCCCUGGACAAAGACUGACGCUCAGGUGCGAAAGCGUGGGGAGCAAACAGGAUUAGAUACCCCCGUGUCCCUGUCUCUUAUACC
rnacentral:rRNA from 1 species